CCCGCCUGCGUGAAGUCGGAAUCGCUAGUAAUCGCGGAUCAGCAUGCCGCGGUGAAUACGUUCCCGGGCCUUGCACACACCGCCCGUCACACCAUGAGAGUCGGGAACACCCGAAGUCCGUAGCCUAACAGCAAUGAGGGCGCGGCCGAAGGUGGGUUCGAUAAUUGGGGUGAAGUCGUAACAAGGUAGC
rnacentral:rRNA from 1 species